AAAACAUGGCCUUUUGUUUAUAUAAAAGGUCUGACCUGCCCUAUGAUUUAAUAUUUAAUGGCUGCAGUAUUUUGACUGUACAAAGGUAGCAUAAUCAUUUGUCUUUUGAUUGAAGUCUGGAAUGAAUGGUUUGAUGAAAAAUAUACUUUCUUUAUUUUAUAUGAAAAAUUUAAUUUUUUAGUCAAAAAGCUAAAAUUUUUUUGUAGGACGAGAAGACCCUAUAGAACUUUAUUUUUAUUAUUUUUAUGAUUAGAUUAGGAAAUGUCUUGAUUAUAAAUUUAAGGAAAUUUUGUUGGGGUGACAGAAAAAAUUAAAUAACUUUUUCUAGUUUGUUCACUAUUAGUGAUUUUUUGAUCCUUUUUUAGGGAUAUAAGACUAAGUUACCUUAGGGAUAACAGCGUUAUUAUUUCAGAGAGUUCAUAUCGAUGAAAUAGUUUGCGACCUCGAUGUUGGAUUAUAAUAAGAUGUGGGAGUAGAAUAUUACACUCUAGGUCUGUUCGACCUUUAAAUUUUUACAUGAUCUGAG
rnacentral:rRNA from 1 species